AAAGCAAUCUCUUUCAAGACAACUUACAGCAGACACACAGACCAUCCAACCUUAUGCUGCCUAAACAGAUGCCACAUUUUUACUGCUUUUAUUUCACUGGAUCCAAAACUCAUCAGGUUCCAUCACCAUAUUUAUACUGAGGAGGUCUGUGUCGUCUUCUGCCUCAUUUCACUUUGUCUGCUCCUGCCCCCAACAUGGAUCAUUCAUUCUGGUCUUCAUUGGGAUUCAUUUGCUUCAUUGCCAUAAAUUGAAAGUGACUUGAUGGCAAAUAACAACAAAACACAUGGAUUCAAAACUAGACUUCUAUGAGAUCUUAUCUGUGACUGACAGAAAGCCCAAUUAUUGCAACUGCAGACAUCACAAUGACAACUUCUCCCUUUCUUUCAUUCUUCUGCCCAACUCACUGAAUACCAUGUAUCUUGAGUCUUGGAGAACCUGAAGAAUUGGACACUUCUGUGGUGCAAAGAGGUGAUGGUGGAGAAAUUUCCAACAGACUGCACUGCUUCUACAUCAUUACUUGACAUAGUUCAGCUUUGCUGUUCAAACAUCAUAUGCACUGUAACAGUGAAUCCAAAAGAUGGGAUGUGUAUACACAGGAGAACUACAAGCACAGAAGAAGAUUUGUUGAAUGCAUCCUUUUACACCACAGAAGAGACUAGCCAUUUUGAAACAGCAAAAACAAACCGUGGAUUUCUUCUUCAGUAUCAACCUACUGCAAAGAAAUUUGCACAUCAUUUGUCCUCUCUGUAGAACUGAACUUAUUUUUAAAUUACACUUGUACCCUGUGCUUCCUUAAAGAAGCUCCUUUUAAAGAAACAGCUAAAUAAGACGAACAAUACACACCAAUGGCAAAAUAACAGAAAAACAGAAACAUCCAACAUGGGUUUUUAUGUGACCAACAUAUUCACCAUGGAUUGAAUUAAAUGCUUGCAUCAAACUCAUUUUUCUAAACAGCAAUAUUUUGCAGUGUUCUAGUGUUAACAUUAGUAAGCAUUCUGUAUGGUGUGGUAUGGGAGGAGGUUAAUGGGGCAGGGUGACAGGUGAUGCCAACUUUUGUGAUACCACUGUGCAAAAUAAGUCCCAAAUUAUGAAUAGUCAUUAAAGACUGCACUAUAUUUAAAGACUUUCUCACAGAAGGAAGAACAUUUAUUGUUGUUUUCAUCAAGAACUGGUUAAGAAUUACAUCCCUAUUCCAUUUUUAGCUGCCAUGGCUACAUCUUGUGGAGUCAUGGGGUGUUGGGGUUCAAUGAGUGCUCUCUCAUUGAGAAUUGGAAAGGCACUUUCUUCAUCUGCAGAUCACAAGAUUCAACAGAAUGCUACCAUGGCAGUUGAAGUGGAAUCCUCAUGCUAUAAUUAUACUUUUGAAAGGGCUCCUGACAGGCAAGGACAAUGACAACACCUUCUAGCCCUUCUCAGCUUUCCCUAUUCUCUCACUGAGCAUAGCUGCAAUCCUCACAGUGUAGGUCACAAGAGAGGGAUUUCCACAACAAUCGAUUAUUGCUAUAAGCUAUUCCAUGAGCAAUGCAAAGUAUUUGGGGGGCAGCUUGGUCUUUUAUGGUCCAAGCUUCACCACAGACCUGCUCUUAGUGGAGAUAAAACAGUGAGAACAGGUUGGUUGAAAUGGGAUAAUGAUAUCCUCCAACAAUUCAGAGAUGAAAACCGAGACACAAGUGGCCACACAAUAUCAGAGUGUGGUCAAGAUGGCAAAAGCUGAUAAAACAGAAGACUAUACAAGCUAGAAAAGAAAUGAUUUGCUUUUGACUGAAUCUACAGGGAAGGACAAGAUACUGUCAUGUCUCGCCUAUCCUCUUAUCCCAUGCAGAAUUAACUGAUUGCAAACUACCCUUGGUCUUUAAAGUCAUUUUGGAGCAAGUCAGCCAAGGAGAAGGGAGGAAAGUGGAAAGAGGAGAGAAAAACAGGGACAUUUUAAAAGUCACUGAAAAAGGGGGACAACUGAGGAUUAAGAGGACUGUCCUGGCCAAAUCUGGACCGUUGAAUGGUAUGAAUAACACAGCUACCCAUAUUUUUGGAUUCUCCUUGUGAAGUUAGCUUUUCAAGUUGCCAUGAUAAGUAUCUGCACUUAUCAAUUUUACUACU